UACGUAGGGGGCAAGCGUUGUCCGGAUUUAUUGGGCGUAAAGAGCUCGUAGGCGGUGUGUCACGUCGGCCGUGAAAACCUGCAGCUUAACUGUGGGCGUGCGGUCGAUACGGGCAUCACUGGAGUUCGGCAGGGGAGACUGGAAUUCCUGGUGUAGCGGUGAAAUGCGCAGAUAUCAGGAGGAACACCGGUGGCGAAGGCGGGGUCUCUGGGCCGAUACUGACGCUGAGGAGCGAAAGCGUGGGGGAGCAAACAGG
rnacentral:rRNA from 1 species